rnacentral:rRNA from 1 species
UUUGUGGAGGGUUCGCUUCUGGCUCAGGAGGAACGGUGGCGGCGUGCGUAACACAUGCAAGUCGAACGGGAUCGGCUGGAGCUUGCUCCGGCCGUGAGAGUGGCGAACGGGUGAGUAAUGCGUGACCGACCUGCCCCAUACACCGGAAUAGCUCCUGGAAACGGGUGGUAAUGCCGGAUGCUCCAGUUGGAUGCAUGUCCUUCUGGGAAAGAUUCAUCGGUAUGGGAUGGGGUCGCGUCCUAUCAGCUUGAUGGCGGGGUAACGGCCCACCAUGGCUUCGACGGGUAGCCGGCCUGAGAGGGCGACCGGCCACAUUGGGACUGAGAUACGGCCCAGACUCCUAC